rnacentral:rRNA from 1 species
CCUACGGGAGGCAGCAGCAGGGAAUCUUGCGCAAUGGGCGAAAGCCUGACGCAGCCACGCCGCGUGAGGGAUGAAGGCUCUAGGGUCGUAAACCUCUUUCAGCAGGGACGAAAAUGACGGUACCUGCAGAAGAAGCUCCGGCCAACUACGUGCCAGCAGCCGCGGUAACACGUAGGGGGCGAGCGUUGUCCGGAUUUAUUGGGCGUAAAGAGCUCGUAGGCUGUUCAGUAAGUCAGGUGUGAAAACUCGAGGCUCAACCUCGAGACGCCACCUGAUACUGCUGUGACUAGAGUCCGGUAGGGGAGUGUGGAAUUCCUGGUGUAGCGGUGAAAUGCGCAGAUAUCAGGAGGAACACCAGCAGCGAAGGCGGCACUCUGGGCCGGUACUGACGCUCAGGAGCGAAAGCAUGGGGAGCGAACAGGAUUAGAUACCCUGGUAGUCCAUGCCGUAAACGUUGGGCACUAGGUGUGGGAUUUAACUAGCAAAUUCCGUGCCGUAGCUAACGCAUUAAGUGCCCCGCCUGGGGAGUACGGCCGCAAGGCUAAAACUCAAAGGAAUUGACGG